rfam:Erinaceus europaeus unplaced genomic scaffold scaffold01153, whole genome shotgun sequence
GUCUACGGCCAUACCACCCUGUACACACCCAAUCUCGUCUGAUCUUGGAAGCUAAGCAGGGUCGGGCCUGGUUAGUACUUGAAUGGGAGAAAACAGUCCUGCAAAGAAGCCUGUAAUUGAUUUAGAGC